rnacentral:lncRNA from 1 species
UCUUUUAUCAGUAAACGUACUUUAUUACAAACAGGAACGAGAAACACAAUAUUUCGUUUUAUAAAACGCUCUUCUGUGUUGUUUCGUGUUUAAAGUUAUUUUACAAUAAUUAAUUCAGUCAAAAUUGCUCAAAUAUGUCCUCCACGUAUUGGCUGUGUAUAUUUUUAUUCAUAUCAGUGACCGUUUGUACAAAAAUGCUAACAACAGACGCGGGAUUUUUGACCUACAAAGAGUUUACAGAAAACAACGGUUUUAUCGAUAAAAAAGGAAAUAUAUUUGGUAUAAGACAGUGUAUUAAAGGUUUUGUGUAUCUCAGAGGAAAAUGUCGGAAAACUUUUAAUGGAAAAUGACAAUAUCUACAUCGAUUCAAUGCCACCAACACUAAGAAAAAAAUCUCUUAAUUUAAGACCUCAUUCGAAUAUAUUUCAACUUAGUUCAUAAUAUUUAUCUUUUAGGUAUUUUAUGUUUGCUAUUUAUCAAAAGUUGUUAUAUUUAUAAAAAAUAAUGUUUUACAUAUGUACAAUGCCAAGUAUAAGUUUGUUUUAAAUGUGUCUUAUGUGGAGCAGGUAUUUUUGUUAAGAAUAAGUUUAAUAAAGAAUAAUAUGUGUUUUGAUAGAGUUAUUUUAUGUUAGACUUACUAGUUUAUUAUUACUAGUCUUUUUUUAUUCUUCUGCAUUUUCUAGUUUUAUAGAUUAACAAAAAGAUAUAACAAUGAUAUUUCAAAUCCCUUAAGGUUUUGAUAAUAAAAAUAAACAAUAUUAUACUUUGUACUCCCCUAUAUCAAAUUACAUUUAUAUCAUAACGCCAUUUACAAGAAAACUCAUAACAUUUUGAAUCCUUCUACCAUUUUUGCAAUCAGUUUAAUAUGAAUAUCAGAAUGGGUGUUUUCUCAAUGGUUGUAUUUUUAGUGCUGUUACCCAUAGUAAUAGAAUCCCGACAUAUGAAACAUCAUACGACCCCAAGUGCUACAGAAUCUUCUACUAACUUCAUAGAAGCUUCUACCACCAGCAAUCCAACCAAAGAUUUUGCUUUAGGCAACAUAAUAACAACGAAAUGCCGAGAUGGUUAUAUUUAUGUUCACGGAUCCUGCAAGGAGAUCUUUGGAUAGCCAGGUGGACAGAAUGGUUUGCUUGCUUUUGACAUUAAGAAGAUUUUUAUAUUAAUAUUUAUCUAUAAUACGCUUUCCAAUAUUAACAAUCUUUAUUUAAAUCUAAUUAUACAGGGUCAGUCUUAAAUAAGAGCAAAUGUUUUAGGGAUUGUAUAUUUCGACCCCAGAAGCAGAUUUGAUCUAUAUGAAGUUUUAUUCGUGCAAAAGAAUUGAAAAUUUGAAAUUUUUUCAAAUAUUUUUGGAAAUUUUAUGAAUCUUUAGUUAAAAAACAUAACAUAUUUAUAAUAUGGCAACAUAGGUUGUAGAUUAAAUUUACAAGAAAAAACCCUAAAAAUGAUCCAGCGAGUGGUCCAAUCAAUGUUUUUUAAAUUUUUACAGUACAAUAACUCGGUUAUUUUAGACUUAUUUGAAAAACGGUAAAGAGAAAAUAUGUUUCUUUUAUCAAGAUCUGCCAGUCCUAAAAAUAUUUGCAUUUAUCUAAGCCUCACCCAGUGUAAUAUUAUGUAAUGCAAACUGGCGCUAUUAAAUAUGUAAUUAUUCUUUAAUUUGGUUUAGGUUUUUUAUGUAUUUUAAAUAUAUGUGCAAUAAGAUUAUUUUAUUUUUAGUAUACUUAAAAUGAAAACUAUCCAAAAUUAUUAACAACAUUAACUUACAAUUAUUGGAAUUUUAAUUUUAAAAUUUUGUAUCGCCUAGCGCAUUCGCCAUAAUUUUUCGAAAUAGUUUUCAAUUUUAUUAUAAAAUACAUGCUAAAAAGUGUAAAGAUAUUUAAUUUUAUAAUGUAAAUAUAAAUUUAUAAUACGGGAUAACAAAUUAAAAAAAAAUAUAUAUUUUCAAGUAACCAAUAGAUCUGAUUUUAAUUAUAUUUAAGAAGCCAUUUAUAAACAAAAUAAACAAUAAGAAUAAAAUUAUUGAUCAAUUUUUUACUCUUUCCUUCGCCAAAUUGUACAGAUUUUUGUAGACUUUUUUUAUUAGCUUCUAAAAAAAUUUAAAUCAAAACUAUAUCUUUUAUGUUUUUAGGAUAGUUUCUGUUGUAUUUGUUAGAAUAUAAUCACUGUUACUAAUUGUUGUUGCUGCUAAUAAUGGUAAAUUUUGCCAAUAUUUGAGUAUAUUGUCAAGGUCCGCGAAUUAUUAAUUAAAAAUGUGAUAAAUUCAA